ensembl:lncRNA
GUAGAUAAAAUGGCGAUUUUUAAAAGGGAUGGCGGGGUGAAAAUAAGGGGAACGUGCCACACUUCCUGACUCAGACUUUUUCAGCUCUUUCUCAGCUUUGUGCAAAGUAAUAUGAGCUUUGAGUCUGGAAGGUCACAUAUUUUAAUGAAACCUUGAAGGGCAAAGAGUAAGAAAUUAUUCUUCCAACUAGGCUGAAAGCGAAAUAUUUUCAGAUGUCCGUAAUUAUUACCUUAAAUUCUACAAGUGGAGUCACUAGAUCUUUAUCCAGUUUAAUUUAACUUUAUAUUGGAGUAUAGUUGAUUUACAAUGUUUUGUUAGUUUCAGGUGUACAACUCAGUGAUUCAGUUACAUGUAUACAUAUAUCCAUUCUUAAAGUUUAUCCAGUUUUAAAAGCUUUUAAUACACACUGCCCACCUACCUCCCCAAAUUCUGAAGCAAUUUAGUCAUGUCUCGGAGAAGGCAAUGGCACUCCACUCCAGUACUGUUGCUUGGAAAAUCCCAUGGACGGAGGAGCCUGGUAGGCUGCAGUCCAUUGGGUCGCUAGGAGUCGGACACGACUGAGCGACUUCCCUUUCACUUUCAUGCAUUGGAGAAGGAAAUGGCAAGCCACUCCGGCGUUCUUGCCUGGAGAAUCCCAGGGACGGGGGAGCCUGGUGGGCUUCGGUCUCUGGGGUCGCACAGUCGGACACGACUGAAGCGACUUAGCAGCAGCAGCAGCAGAAUCAUGUCUGACUCUUUGCGACCCCAUGGACUGUAACCCGCCAGGCUUCUCCGUCCAUGGGAUUUCCCAGGCAAGAGGACUGGAGUGUGUUGCCAGUGGGCUGCAAUUUCCUUCUCCAGAAGAUCUUCUGGACCCAGGGACUGAACGCACAUUACAGAAGAUAACCCAAAGAUGACCAACAGAAUACUGUGAUUAAACGGUUAACAACAAAACAUUUUGCUGGGUGACACAGUUUUAUUAGUGAGGUUCAAUAUUCAUGUUUCAAGGAUUUUUAUAUUCUUCUCUAAAUUGCUUACCCAGCCUUUGAGGUGUUCAUCCUUCCUUGAAUUGUGAAACUCAUUUUACGAAAAAUAAACCCUUCUGAUAGUCUUUAUUUACUAAGAACCCAAGAAGAAAUUUCUUUUACUAACAAGAAUCCUAUUAAGUCCCUUAAACACUACUUUCCAUGUAUAGAAACUAU